CCUACGGGUGGCAGCAGUGAGGAAUAUUGGUCAAUGGGCGCGAGCCUGAACCAGCCAAGUAGCGUGAAGGAUGACUGCCCUACGGGUUGUAAACUUCUUUUAUAAAGGAAUAAAGUGAGGCACGUGUGCCAUUUUGUAUGUACCAUAUGAAUAAGGAUCGGCUAACUCCGUGCCAGCAGCCGCGGUAAUACGGAGGAUCCGAGCGUUAUCCGGAUUUAUUGGGUUUAAAGGGAGCGUAGGUGGAUUGUUAAGUCAGUUGUGAAAGUUUGCGGCUCAACCGUAAAAUUGCAGUUGAAACUGGCAGUCUUGAGUACAGUAGAGGUGGGCGGAAUUCGUGGUGUAGCGGUGAAAUGCUUAGAUAUCACGAAGAACACCGAUUGCGAAGGCAGCUCAAUGGACUGCAACUGACACUGAGGCUCGAAAGUGUGGGUAUCAAACAGGAUUAGAUACCCGGGUAGUC
rnacentral:rRNA from 1 species